CCGGAUACUUUGGCAGGGCUGCACCGAUGAAAGCAGCCCCGCCCCACUUCCCA
rnacentral:ncRNA from 1 species